rnacentral:lncRNA from 1 species
CCAAGAACUUGGAACAACCAUCUCUGAGCAUGCAAAACUGAUGCUGCAUUGGGGAAGACAAGGUUCUAAACAGAGAGCAACCAUAAAAUGGUACUUAGGAAUAAAAGGCAGUUUCUAAAAGAAGAAGACAGUGUGAACUCGGUGGCACACAAUCCUGAAAAUAUAAUUGAGUGCACCGCAGCCAGGAAAUGGAGUGAGAUGGCUGUUCAUCAAUAAAAACAAUAUUGAAAAGGAGGCCUCGUCCUCUGGCUCCAUGACAGUUAGCCUGCCUUUGCUUCUUCAUCCUGCCUUGAGAGAAACAAAAAGAAAAGGAAAACCCCCACUUAAAUCAAAGAAUGAGGAGGAAAUUCAUGUUUGAUUCUCACUUCUGGAAAAUAAUCCAUAUUUAGGUUCUCAUCUGAUCUUCCAGAUUGUUCACUUGAACAUUUGUGCUACCAGAAAACGUUACAUGAAAGACUGGAAGAAGGAAUUGACACGGGAGGCAGGCAAUGGAGAAAGGGUCUAUAACCCUUCCUUGCAAUCGGGGGUCUUUGGCUGUUUGAAGGAGGCCUUGGGGGAAGCUGUGCAGCCAAGUGAGUGUGCAGGACUCACUGGGCCCAGUGUACACGAGACAUGUCAGCAGGAGCCAAGAACAUGAUCACUGUGAGUUCUCUGCUGGAGGCAAAACCGUGAGGUCCUUCUCAUUUCUAAGUCAAAAAUCUAAAUUAUCUUCCAACAUGGCACCUUCUCUGUUUUCUGGAAACUGCCACCUUCCACUUGCAGCCCAAAGAACUUGCUCUGUUUUGCAAAAUUGGAAGACAAGUAUUCUUCACCAGUAGAGCCAGGAGUUCAGUGCCCCAUGCUCUGUUCUCCCAUAGGAACAAUCUCUCCAGAUUAUAAUGGACUUUGAUGGACGAUGAGAGAAGCCUGGCACUGUGACAAGUCCUGGAGUUAAAAGCACUGGGACAAAAGCCAGGAGACCUAAGUUCUCAUCUCCACUCUAUCCCUGGUUAGCUGCGUGAUUCUGGGCAGGUCACUUUGAACUUGUGUUUGCUCAUCUAUGACUGUUUCUCCUCUGGAGUAGCAAUGCUUAUCCUAUCUAGUUCACACAAAUUGUUGAGACAAUAAAAUGGGAUGAAAAAUCACCAUUUUUUAGUGUAAUGACUGGAACUCCCUUAGUAUUUAGAACAGGCAUCAACCAAAUCUGAUUUGAGGCGCCAUGUUGAGAAACUUUGACACAAGUCAAGGCAGGUUUGAGAGACUGGACAGGUGGGGAUAUCAGAAGAAUGAAUUGAGGUACACAGUGCAAGGGAUCAGGGAAGCUAGAUAAGAUGCAGGCUGGCCCCUCUAGAAAUGCCAUCCAAUCUCAGCCAGGCAUGGUGGCUCACGCUUACAAUCCCAGCACUUUGGGAGGCCGAGGUGCGUGGAUCGCCUGAGGUCAGGAGUUCGAGACCAGCCUGGCCAAUAUGGUGAAAACCCGUUUCUACUAAAAAAAAAAAAAAAGAAAGAAAAAAAAUUAAAAAAAUUAGCUGGGCGUCAUGGUGGGUGCCUAUAAUCCCAGCUACAUGGGAGGCUGAGGCAGGAAAAUCACUUGAACCUGGGAGGCGGCACUUGCAGUGAGCCGAGAUAGUGCCAUUGCACUUCAGCCUGGGCAACAAGAGUGAAACUCUGUCUCAAGAAAAAAAAAAAAAAGCCACCCAAUCUCAUGCAGAGAGAGCACCAGCAAAGGCAGGUGGACCCCCUCCAGGGUGUCAGUAUUCAGAGUCUGGAAGGGAGAAGAGUUGGUUUCCUAAUAAGUGGACUGACUCCCAUCAGUAGCAGGGGCUCUAGAGUAUAGAACUCUACCUUCUGUGAGAGGAUGUGGCUAAGUGUCCAGGCCAAAGGCUAGCAAAGGAUGCUAAUAGAGACUUGAAGCCCCAGGCAAUGAGACCAAGGAUAGUUUAACAUGGCGGGAGGCAGGGGAGAGAGGAAAAUGCUGCAAUUUGUAGGAUCUCAAACCAAAUCCAGAUUCUAUCUCCUGCUGAGCUCAGGCAGCUGAUAUGUUCUUGCUUUGGUCAGGACUGGCUGGGGUUGUCUGGGCUGAGAGGCCCUCCCGCAAACCCCCUCACCCAAAUGCAAUCCGGCUGACCAUUGUGUGGGGAUUCUCCAGCAUUUUGAACCUUUUCUUUGGUCAGAAAUACUUGAAUGACUCAGAGAGUUUCCCAAUAAAAGAUGAAUUGCCAGGAGAUAACGCAUUAAACUAUGAACUGACAUUCUUACUUUAAUAUAAAUGUACUUCAUUGGGUUAUCUCCUUCCACCACUAGAGCUCCAAGGAAAUGAAAUGGAGAAGAGGGAGCUUAUAAAACACUAAUGACAAACUUUGCCUAUUCUCAUAUUGUGACUUGUCCUUGUAGGAAAGGCCACCAGGAGCAGGCGUGUGAGUUGGGUCCUGUUGAAGCCUUCAGUGGGUGGGUAGGGAUGGGGCAGGCACAGUGCAGAGAAAGAGGUGCUUCCCAGAGGGGUGGCUAAUUGCAAUUCCUCUGCCCAGAGAAGACAUCUUUUUCUAAGCCACACAAAGGCAUCCUAAGUGUUUGAAAAUGCCAGGGCAGCAAAAUUGCCACAGGCCCUAUUGAAUAGUUCAGGCUAGCUGCUUUCCAGACUGCAAGGUCUAAAGAAUGCAGAGGAAGCCUUGCAGAGCUAUGGUGCCUGUGCAGAGACCUGGGAGGUGAGAGGGAGACGGUUUCUCUUUUGCUGCCUGGAGUUCUUGAGGAAAGGAGGCCGAGGCUGUCAGCAGGUCAGAUCAGUCAGGAAGCGGUCAACCACUUUCAAAGACUCUUAUUUUCAGUGAAAGUUUCCAAGUGAUAAUAACAUCUCUCAGUAUCGAAACUUUGAGAAUGAAUUUUCAGCUCCCCAGUGAUGGAUAAAACACCAUCGGAAAGUGUGACAGUCCCCCUGCACAUCCGGCUCAGUCAGAGGGAAAUGGAUGAUACUCACAGAGAAGAAAAAUUGCAAGGCAGGCAACCCAGGAUGUAUUGCAGUCAUAACCCAGGAAAACCUUCCACCACAUUUCUGCUAUCUACAAACAAAUGUGCCGGGCUAAUUUUCUGCUGAAAGACAGCGUGCCUGUACUAAACUGGCUUCAUUAACUCAAUUGGAAAAAAUGAUUUUGCAAUUUGCAUGGGGCUUAAGAGUGUAAUUAAUACAAUUCAUAAAAGGCCAGUGCCACUUUGCAGACAUUAGCCCCAUGGGGGAUUGUGCAGUGGCAUGCUUUGGAGAGAGUUCUUAUGUCUGCAAUUCCAGCAGCCAACUUUGCCCUGCCUUCUUGGCGGGACAUCCUCAUCUUUAUUUCAAUAAAACUAGACUCGCAUUGCCUUUCUCUUUAGGGAUUUCUCACCAGUGCCCUCUCCCCCAUCAUUCAGCUGCCCAGUAGUAGUUGAUUUCAUUUGGAUGAAAAGCAAAGAAUGCUUGAAGAUGAGGGAUUAAGGAUGGAGGCAGGAAGAAAUAAUGUCCCCAUGUACCUCACUUUCCACCCAAUUUCUUGUUGUGUGUGUUGAUGUCUUAAGAGGUUGGUUGAGUGCUGAAGACCUAGGUUUCUCUUACCCCUAGAAGACAGUUAACAGGCCUGGCUUUUUAUAAAUCUGUGUCCAAGCAAGGAUUGCCUGUAAUGUGGGGAGAGGGAAAAGGGUGGUGAGAUGGAGACGCUGGGCUUUGAGAAUGAAAGGAGAGAGAUGUGGGCCUAUGGUGGGCACCUGUAUGUGAGAAGAGGGGAGGUUUGUGUUGAUAGAACCUGUUUGUCCAGAAGUCUCAUCUUGGUGAGAGGCAAAUAUGUCUAUUUUAUUUUACUGUAUUUUAUGUAUUUAUUUUUUGAGAUGGAGUCUCCAACUGUAGCCCAGGCUGGAGUGCAGUGGCAUGAACUCGGCUCACUGCAACCUCCACCUCCCAGGUUAACACAAUUCUCCUGCCUCAGCCUCCCGAGUAGCUGGGACUACAAGUGCGUGCCACCAAACCUGGCUAAUUUUUUGUAUUUUUAGUAGAAACAGGGUUUCAUUAUAUUGGUCAGACUGGUCGCCAACCUCAUGAUCUGCCCACCUUGGCCUCCCAAAGUGCUAGGAUUACAGGCAUGAGUCACCGAGCCCAGCCUAUUUUUUUUUUUUAGACAAAGGGUUUAGCUCUGUUGCCCAGGCUGGAGUGCGGUGGCAUGAUCAUAACUCACUGUAACCUCUACUUCCAGGGCUCAAGUGAUCCUCUCAUCUCAGCCGCCUGAGUAAUUGGGACCACAGGUGUGUGCCAGCACACCCAGCUAAUUAAAAAAAAAAAAGUUUCUGUAUAGAUGGGGUCUCAUUAUGUUGCCCAGGCUGGUCUGGAACUCCUGGCCUCAAAUGAUUCCCCACCCCAGCCUCCCAAAUGCUGGGAUUGUAAGCAUGAGCCAACAUACUUGGCCUGUCUUUAUUUAUUUUUUAAAAUACUUUGUCUUCAACCAUGUUCUGCCAAAAAUCCCUUUCCUGUCCCUUAAAUUUGAGGCAGAUACCACGUUUGCUACAUACUUUCAGAUAUUAAAAGCUCACCCAGUUACUCAUCCAUAGCCAUUAAGGAAAUGCAAGUCAAAACCACAAUGAGAUAUGACUUCACACUCAUUGUUAAAGAAAAAAAAUAUUCUGAAGCUUGUUAAAAUAGCAAGAAGAUUUUAUUUAGGACGAUUGCAAUAGGUGUCAAGGCUAUCACAAUAGGGGAGAGAGCUCAGGCUCAAGGUAGCAAAGGCAGCUGGAGGCUUCUAGCCAAUGAGCAGAGUGAGGGGUCAGUGGGUAGAAAACUAAAACAGGUGACAUCACGGAUAGGAAGACUUGCUGAACUGACUUAGGAUUCUUGCUGAAGGCAGGUUGGGGACUUCUACAUCAAAGGUGGGGGAUGAGGAACUGGCUGAGAUAUUAAGAGUGGGGGGAUUCUUGCUAAACUGAAUUAGCAAGAUUCUUGCUACCAUUGGACUAGACAGGCGAAAGACAGGGCUAAGGACAAGGCCCAGUGAAAAAGAGGGCUUACAGCAGCCUAAUUAAUGUCUGAUCAAAGAGGGAGUAUUUGUCCCCAUAAGGAUGACGAUUAUUUAAAAAAAAAAAAAAAAAGAAAAGAAGUGUUGAGGAGGAAUGAAGAGAAAUUGAAACCUUUGUGCAUUGCUGAUAAGAAUGUAAAAUGGUACAGCCAAUAUGGAAAACAGUUUGACAAUUCGUCAAAAAGUUAAACAGAGAAUUACCAUAGGAUUUAGCAAUUCCGCUCCUAGGCAGAUACCUAAAAUAAAAUGAAAGCAGGGACUCAAACAGACACUAGUUGAUAUAGUUUGGCUAUUUGUCCCCCUCAAAUCCCAUGUUAAAGUGUAAUCCCCAAUGUUGGGGGUGAGGCCUGGUAGGAGAUGAUUGGAUCAUAGGGAUGAAUUUCCCAUGAAUGGUUUAGCACCAUCCUCUUGGUGCUGUCCUCACAAUUGUGAGUGAGUUCCCCUGAGAUCUGGUUGUUUUAGAGUGUGUGGUGUGCCCCCUCACUCUCUCCCUCUUGUUUCGUCUCUCACCAUGUGACUUGCAGGCUCCUGCAGACCAUUAAACCCAUUAAACCUCUUUUCCUUAUAAAUUACCCAGUCUCAGGUAUUUGUUAUAGCAAUGCAAGAAUGGUCUAACACAUUGGUACACCAAUGUCCAAAGCAGCAUUAUUCACCAAAAGGUGGAAACAAUCCCAAUGUCCAUCAACAAUUUGAACGGAUAAACACAAUGUUGUAUAUACAUGCAAUGGAGUAUUGUGUAGCCUUAAAAACAGUUGAAUUCUGGCACAUGCUCCAACACGGAUGAACCUUGAAAAUAGGCUAAAUAAAAUAAGCCAGGUUCAAAAGGACAAAUACUGUAUAAUUCCAGUUAUAUAAGGUACCUGUUAUAGGCAAAUUUAUCCAGACAGAAAUAGAGGUUACCAGGGCCUGGGGAGAGGAGGGAAUAGGGAGUUAGUGUUUAAUGAGUACAGAGUUUCAGCUUGGGAUGAAGAAAAUGUUUCGGUGAUGGCUGCACAACCAUAUUAAUAUAUGCGAUGACACUGAAGUGUAUAUCUAAAAAUGGCUAAAAUGGUAAUUUUAUGUUAUGUAUGUUUACCACAAUAAAACAAGUUUUAAAAAA